AUUGAACGCUGGCGGCAGGCAUAACACAUGCAAGUCGAGCGGAGCGGCGGACGGGUGAGUAAUGCCUAGGAAUCUGCCUGGUAGUGGGGGAUAAAGUCCGGAAACGGGAGCUAAUACCGCAUACUAUCAGAUGAGCCUGGGUCGGAGUAGCUAGGUGGUGGGUUAAAGGCAUACGAAGGCGACGAUCCGUAACUGGUUUGAGUGGAUGAUCAGUCAAACUGGAACUGAUACACGGUCCAUACUCCUACGGGAGGCAGUAGUGGGGAAUAUUGGACAAUGGGCUAAAUCCUGAUCCAGCCAUGCCGCGUGUGUGAAGAAGGUCUUCGGAUUUUAAAGCACUUUAAGUUGUGAGGCGUUCCCAACAGAAUAAUCACCGGCUAACUUCGUGACAGCAGCCGCGGUAAUUC
rnacentral:rRNA from 1 species